rnacentral:rRNA from 1 species
CCCGCAACGAAGCGCAACCCUUGUCUUUAGUUACCAUCAUUCAGUUGGGGACUCUAGAGAGACUGCCGGUGAUAAACCGGAGGAAGGUGGGGAUGACGUCAAAUCAUCAUGCCCCUUAUGGCCUGGGCUACAAACGUAAUACAAUGGCGUAUACAAAGGGAUGCGAAAGGGCGACCUGGAGCAAAACUCACAAAGUACGUCUCAGUUCAGAUUGGAGUCUGCAACUCGACUCCAUGAAGGCGGAAUCGCUAGUAAUCGCGGAUCAGCAUGCCGCGGUGAAUACGUUCUCGGGGUUU